UAAUGGACUUAUAAAUGAAGUAUUGAUUUAACUUAUAACAUACUCUAGAUAAUUGCUUGUUAAUCAUCAAAAUAACACUAUCAUCCUCAGUAGUAGGGUUCUACGCGGUGGCUGGUGGCCUUAUGCCUACCCGCACCCUAGGACCGUUGCGGCGGCCCGCCGGGAACGGGGCGGGGGUCGUGACAAAGCUUGGUAUCAGAGCAAAGGUUAAGAAGAGUCCUGUCAAAGCAAUAGGGUGAGUCAGGAUUAAGUAUAGGAUUAUACUAUGGAGCAUAGGGUUUUUCUGUAUGUUAAUUUAUGAGUCAUUUACAAUUCAGUAAAAUAUAUUAUGACUCAGUGUGUAACGACUGCCCUCUCUUUUUAACUCUUUUAGAGACAUAUAAAGAAUACCUCAAAGGAGAGGACCUGCUCGUCCUGGAAAGAGGAUGGAGCCAGAUAUAGCAUUGGAUGCGGGUU
rnacentral:lncRNA from 1 species